UAGAGUUUGAUUAUGGCUCAGGAUGAACGCUGGCGGUAUGCUUAACACAUGCAAGUCGAACGGAGUGCUUCGGCACUUAGUGGCGGACGGGUGAGUAACGCGUGAGAAUCUGGCAAAAGGUUCGGGACAACAGUUGGAAACGGCUGCUAAUACCGGAUGUGCCUGUGGGUGAAAGAUUAAUCGCCUUUUGAUGAGCUCGCGUCUGAUUAGCUAGUUGGUGUGGUAAGAGCGCACCAAGGCGACGAUCAGUAGCUGGUCUGAGAGGAUGACCAGUCACACUGGGACUGAGACACGGCCCAGACUCCUACGGGAGGCAGCAGUGGGGAAUUUUCCGCAAUGGGCGAAAGCCUGACGGAGCAAUACCGCGUGAGGGAGGAAGGCUCUUGGGUUGUAAACCUCUUUUCUCAGGGAAUAAGAAAGUGAAGGUACCUGAGGAAUCAGCAUCGGCUAACUCCGUGCCAGCAGCCGCGGUAAU
rnacentral:rRNA from 1 species